UACGUAGGGGGCUAGCGUUGUCCGGAAUCAUUGGGCGUAAAGCGCGUGUAGGCGGUCCGGUAAGUCCGCUGUGAAAGUCGGGGGCUCAACCCUCGGAUGCCGGUGGAUACUGUCGGGCUUGAGUACGGAAGAGGCGAGUGGAAUUCCUGGUGUAGCGGUGAAAUGCGCAGAUAUCAGGAGGAACACCAAUUGCGAAGGCAGCUCGCUGGGACGUUACUGACGCUGAGGCGCGAAAGCCAGGGGAGCAAACGGG
rnacentral:rRNA from 1 species